CGGUCGCUACCUGGUGCGUCAGGUCCAAAAGAUCCCUGGGGCCAAUGUUCUCUACUAGGGAGCUGUCCCUGUCGAGGCCGUGGUCUCGGUAUUACGGCGCCCACCUGCGUAAGCAGGCCACAGAGGACUUACCGGGCCAACGGCCAAGGCGGCUCCGCC
rnacentral:other from 1 species